AUGGAGGCCUUUAAGAAUGAAAGGAAGAUCAUCCCUGGGGAAAGAGAUCGGCAAUUCGCUCAGGCGGAUGGUUAUACAGGAAGUGUUGUGGCUUUGGUGGAAGGCUGGGAAGAUCCUUGUUUGGGU